GGACGGGAUCCGUCGGAGAGCUUGCUCGAAUAUGGUAGAGAGUGGCGCACGGGUGCGUAACGCGUGAGCAACCUACCUCUAUCGGGGGGAUAGCCUCUCGAAAGAGAGAUUAACACCGCAUAACAUCAACAGUUCGCAUGUUCGGUUGAUUAAAUAUUUAUAGGAUAGAGAUGGGCUCGCGUGACAUUAGCUAGUUGGUAGGGUAACGGCUUACCAAGGCGACGAUGUCUAGGGGCUCUGAGAGGAGAAUCCCCCACACUGGUACUGACACACGGACCACACUCCUACGGGAGGCAGCAGUAAGGAAUAUUGGUCAAUGGGCGGAAGCCUGAACCAGCCAUGCCGCGUGCAAGAUGACUGCCCUAUGGGUUGUAAACUGCUUUUGUCCAGGAAUAAACCUAUAUACGAGUAUAUAGCUGAAUGUACUGGAAGAAUAAGGAUCGGCUAACUCCGUGCCAGCAGCCGCGGUAAUACGGAAGAUCCGAGCGUUAUCCGGAUUUAUUGGGUUUAAAGGGUGCGUACGCGGCCUAUUAAGUCAGGGGUGAAAUACGGUGGCUCAACCAUCGCAGUGCCUUUGAUACUGAUGGGCUUGAAUCCAUUUGAAGUGGGCGGAAUAAGACAAGUAGCGGUGAAAUGCAUAGAUAUGUCUUAGAACUCCGAUUGCGAACGC
rnacentral:rRNA from 1 species